rnacentral:rRNA from 1 species
UUUAUGGAGAGUUUGAUCCUGGCUCAGGAUGAACGCUGGCGGCGUGCCUAAUACAUGCAAGUCGAGCGAACGGACGAGAAGCUUGCUUCUCUGAUGUUAGCGGCGGACGGGUGAGUAACACGUGGAUAACCUACCUAUAAGACUGGGAUAACUUCGGGAAACCGGAGCUAAUACCGGAUAAUAUUUUGAACCGCAUGGUUCAAAAGUGAAAGACGGUCUUGCUGUCACUUAUAGAUGGAUCCGCGCUGCAUUAGCUAGUUGGUAAGAUAACGGCUUACCAAGG